rnacentral:rRNA from 1 species
AUGGCCUCUGCAGCGCUCUUCUUCGUCUUCCUCGCCCUGGCCACCAUGCAGUCGCAGACCGCCUCGUCCGAGAAGGAGACGCACCUCAAGGUGUACUGGCACGAUGUGGUGAGCGGACCGGACCCGACGUCGGUGCCUGUGGCGCAGGCGGCGACGACCAACACCUCCAAGACAGCCUUCGGCAUGGUGAUGGUCAUUGACGACCCGCUCUCCGAGGGCCCCGGCCUCAACUCGUCCAGGCUCAUGGGCCGCGCCCAAGGCACCUACAUCGCCGCCGGCAAGGACCAGCUCGCGCUGCUCAUGAACAUGAACUUCGUCUUCACCGCUGGCAAGUACAACGGCAGCAGCGUCGCCAUUAUGGGUCGCAACGCCGUGUUCACCAAGGUACGUGAGAUGGCUAUCAUCGGCGGUACAGGCGUUUUCAGGUGGGCCCGCGGGUACGCGCAGGCCAGGACGCACACCUUGGACCUCAUGACCGGCGACGCCACCGUCGAGUACAACAUAUUCAUCAGGCACUAG